CUUAUUAAAAAUUAUUUAUUAGAUACAGUUCCUAUGUCUUCUCAAAUGAAUGAAUCAAGAAACUUUGAGUGGGUCAGACCAGAGGAUAUAUUAAAAGAAGAUACACCACUGUCCUCCAUGGUAUUUCAGAAUUUCACACAUCCUGUUGUGCAGCCUAUCUUAGACAGGAGAUAUUUUCUUCAAAAGAAUACAGUGGGGACAACAGAAGAAAGGAUAUGCAAAUCAG